CCCUCUUUGGAUCUACAUCCGUCAGCGUUGUACGCCCGCGGGUGCCAUUACG
rnacentral:sRNA from 10 species